rnacentral:snoRNA from 1 species
AGGAGCUAGAGGUGUGAAGCUGGCUCCUUGGUGUUGCUUUGCUGCAACUGCCAUUUGCCAUGUUGAUCAUUCUCUUCUUUUGGGAGCUUAAGGAGGAAAAAGACACAGUCUGA